UCCAGCUACAGGAGAAUCCUGUCCAUCCUUCCUUCAUGGAAGACGUGGGAGAACAAGUCUGCGGAGACUGUUCCACCCCGACCUGCUCAUCGCUGAGAAGCGGAACAUCCCGCUCCGGAGAGGCUACUUCAACCUCAUCCCCCAGACCGAGAGAUCCCGGGCAGAGCGGGGCUCGGUCCGCGCAGCUGCCGGUCGCGGAGCUCCAUCUCCUGCGCGCACCGCGCAACUGCAGCGCUCGGAGCUCUCCCCGUCCCGGAGCCUCUUCUGUCCCGGUGCUCUCCCCGUCCCGGAGCACUGCACCGACUUCGAGAACAAGAAGGAAACGGAGCGAGGAGGCACCCAGGAGCGCCGGCUGCAGGGCUUAGCAGUGGAAGCUACAAUUCCAGCCCUGUAUCUUCACACCAGUGGUGGGUUGUGCUGCUUGUAGAACAAGCAGGGCAGCAGGAGGGGAGCAGCUU
rnacentral:lncRNA from 1 species